GAAUUUUUAUUUUAAUGAAAAAUUUUAAAUUGCAAAUUUAAAGAUAUAAUUUAUAUUAUAAAAUUUU
rnacentral:tRNA from 1 species